rnacentral:rRNA from 1 species
AGGUUGGCUCAGAAGCAGCCAUCCUUUAAAGAGUGCGUAACAGCUCACUAGUCGAGUGACCCUGCGCCGAAAAUGUACCGGGGCUAAGCCUGAUACCGAAACUGCGGAUUGUAGGAAACUAUAGUGGUAGGGGAGCGUUGUAUACGAGUAGAAGCCGUACCGUGAGGAGCGGUGGAUUGUAUAGAAGUGAGAAUGCCGGUGUGAGUAGCGAGAUGUAGGUGAGAAUCCUACACACCGAAAGCCCAAGGAUUCCAGGGGAAGGUUCGUCCGCCCUGGGUAAGUCGGGACCUAAGGCGAGGCCGAAAGGCGUAGCGGAUGGAAAGCAGGCGAAAGAUUCCUGCACCCGUAUAUGGAGCGAAGGAGUGACGGAGACGGAUAGUGUGACCCUCUUAAUGGAUUGAGGGCGAAGCGAAGCGGCUGGUUACCAGGCAAAUCCGGUAACUGAAAGGCUAGAGCGUGACAGGCAAGCGAAAUCUUAGGAAAGUAGCGAAGCACAUGAUGACGGCUUCCAGGAAAAGCUUCUGGCAAUGCAUAUGCGGCCCGUACCAAAACCGACACAGGUGGGCAGGGAGAGAAUCCCGAGGUGAGCGAGAGAACUGUUGCCAAGGAACUCGGCAAAAUGACUCCGUAAGUUAGCGAGAAGGAGUGCUUAAGCAAUUAAGCCGCAGUGAAGAGGCCCAAGCGACUGUUUAACUAAAACACAGCUCUCUGCGAAGUCGCAAGACGAAGUAUAGGGGGUGACACCUGCCCGGUGCUGGAAGGUUAAGAGGAUCUGUUAAGAGCGAUCUGAAGCAGUGAUCCGAAGCCCCAGUGAACGGCGGCCGUAACUAUAACGGUCCUAAGGUAGCGAAAUUCCUUGUCAGGUAAGUUCUGACCCGCACGAAAGGUGUAACGAUUUGGGCGCUGUCUCGGCAGCAGACUCGGUGAAAUCUUAGUACCUGUGAAAAUGCAGGUUACCCGCAACUAGACGGAAAGACCCCAUGGAGCUUUACUGCAGCCUGAUAUUGAAUUCUGGUCAUACAUGUACAGGAUAGGUGGGAGACAAAGAGACGUGCACGCCAGUGUACGAGGAGUCGGCGUUGGGAUACCACUCUUGUGUGACCGGGGUUCUAACCUGGUAUCGAUAACAGGUACGGGGAGAGUGUCAGGUGGGCAGUUUGACUGGGGCGGUCGCCUCCCAAAGAGUAACGGAGGCGCCCAAAGGUACGCUCAGAUUGGAUGGAAACCAAUCGUCGAGUGCAAUUGCAGAAGCGUGCUUGACUGUGAGACUUACAAGUCGAACAGGGACGAAAGUCGGGAAUAGUGAUCCGGCGGUGCCGAAUGGAAGGGCCGUCGCUCAACGGAUAAAAGCUACCCUGGGGAUAACAGGCUGAUCUCGCCCAAGAGUUCACAUCGACGGCGAGGUUUGGCACCUCGAUGUCGGCUCAUCGCAUCCUGGAGCUGGAUUCGGUUCCAAGGGUUGGGCUGUCCGCCCAUUAAAGCGGUACGCGAGCUGGGUUCAGAACGUCGUGAGACAGUUCGGUC